rnacentral:rRNA from 1 species
GAUGAACGCUGGCGGCGUGCCUAAUACAUGCAAGACGAGCGUAUGGACGAGAAGUUUGCUUCUCAGAUGUUUGCGGCGGACGGGAUAGUAACACGUGGAUACCCUCCCUAUCAUACCGGGAUAACCUCGUGAUACCGAAGCUAACAUCGGAUAAUAUUUAAAACAACUUGGUUCCACAAUGACCGACGAUUUUGCUGUCACUUAUAGCUGGAUCCGCGCGGCAUGAGCUAGUUGGUAAGGUAAAGGCUUACCAAGGCAACGAUGCAUAGCCGACCAGAGAGGGUAAUCGGCCACACCAGGACUGAGACACGGGGCAGAGGAUUACAGGAGGCAGCAGAAGGGAAGCCUGCGCAGUGGGCGAAAGCCUGACGGUGCAACGUCGCGUGAGGGAAGAAGGUCAUCGGAUCGGAAAACACUGAUAUUAGAGAAGAACAUGUGGGAAAGUAACUGUGCACAGCGUGACGGUACCUAAUCAGAAAGCCACCGCGAACUACGUG